GACAUAAGAUAUACAUUUAAGCUAGUGAGGACAUUCUUUUUUGUAGAUGAGGACAUACUAAACACUAGAAAGCAACAUGCCCUUCACUCCCACAUGCUUAGCUCCCAAUCCACAUGCCAAACGCAACAGUAUCGCAAGCAUUUCCUACGAAGACAGAGCAGAGCUUCAUCCAACACACUGUGAUCCGCCAGUGCGAUCAAUACUGCACCGAUUCCAACAAGGCAUUUUUCGUUCCCAAGUGUAUUUCGUGCCUUUGUUUGAAAUUAAUAAAUUAGUAAUUCAUUUCACCCGAUCUCUUUGUUUAUACCAGAUUAUAUGUGAGGGUUUCAUGUUUUGCGGCCAUAGGAGCUUUGGGGGGGUGGAAGGGCCUUUCGAAUCUGGUGGUGAAAAGGAAUGGCACAGUGGAUGUGGCGGCGCGGUGUGGCUGCAGAUUAAUUGGGUUUUCGGUCCGAUCUGAGUUAUGCAGGAGCCGGAUCUGACCGCAGAUCUUGAUUGGAUGGAGGCGAGCAUGGCUGCGUUGGGCGGCGAAGCUUGGACUGAGGACGCGGUGGUGUGUCUGGAGGGAGGUUUGUGCUUGGAUCCAGGUUCCUUGCUAGGCCUGGAUUUUGGUUUGGGCUGUGGAUUGGCAAGAAGGGCUUGAAGACUGGGGUUGGGUCUGGCUUUGGGAUUCGGGGGGUCAGGUCUGGAUCUGGGUUCUUCCUUGGGAUCCAGGUCCUGCCUUGAUUUGGGUUAGGGCUCUGGGCUUGGGUUGGGCCUAUGUUGCUUGGAUAUGAGUCAUUGAGUUGUGGUACUGUUUUUCAGGUGGAAGAUUAUCCUCUAUUUGGCGUAUUUUUUACAUGGAAGAUGCAUGGAUGGUCAUAUCACCAGUUAUAUGGUUAGAAGGUUACCCUUUUAUGGUCGGUCAUACUAUCGAUAACAUAGGUGGAAGAUUGUUCUUUUUUCGGCGUACGAGAUACGAGGAAUAUGUUUGGUUGGUCAUAUCACCGGUUACUUUUAUGGAAGAUUAGCCUUUUAUGGUCUGUCAUACCAUUAGUAAUUAUUUAAAUAGCCCGGAUUACAUCCGGUGCGUCUUCAGAUGCAUUAUUGCAUCUAGCUAUAGCUAUGCUAGGUUUUAUUUUCAAUUUUUUAUUGUCGCUUUUUUCAUUUUUGAUGUAGCUUCUACAUCUAUCUUUUGUAAUCUUUCUUAUUAUUCAUGGAGUUGACAUUUUCAUUC